rnacentral:tRNA from 1 species
GCGGACGUAGCUCAAUUGGCAGAGCACUUCCCUGUCACGGAAGGGGUUGCGGGUUCGAGUCCCGUCGUUCGCG